UGCUUGAAACAAUGCAGUGCCAGUAAUAUUAACGAUUAACGUGUAACAUCAACACAUACCUAGCUCUGUGUGUGUCAAAACUGUAAUGACUCCUACCAGGCGCGCAGUGCAGGCUGCACUGCCUGCUUCUUCUUAUCCUUUUGACCUGAAGGACUUAAAAUUACUACAAAAGUAAUGUACCUAUCUAUGGAAUGGAACUACAGAAGUACACUGAAGGAAGGCCUCCACAGCAAGGUGAUAAAUCUUUGACUUUGACAUUUGCAAGUAGUCCUAAUAGCCACUGCAUCCUGAAUUGUAAUUAUGAGUCACCAAUAACAAAAAAGACGUCUGUGACAUGGAUCCCUAAUGUUCUCUCAGAUGGUGACGAAUAAAGAAAGAAGAACCCAGGAGUAUAAAAAAAUACUUACAUACAUACCUACCAUUGUGGUGAUGUACAUACAUACAUAGUCACACCACCAUAACAGGAUGGACUGAGCCGAGCACUACCAAGAAGACCAACUGCAGCCUCUUGUGAUGGACAUAAUGACCAGAGUGGUGACAGA